rnacentral:misc_RNA from 1 species
GGCGUCAUGAGUCCAUGGCGCC